CUGUCCAAAGAGGGACAGGUGGUAACCCUAACACACAACAUUAAAACAGAUGGAAAAAAUGAGAGACAAACGCAGAUUACAGGAAAUUACGUAUGUCAUCAAAAUGUCUCCAUCUUAUCCAUCUGUAACAAAUUACUAAAUGCUUCACAGUACAGUUUACCAUCACAUUGGUUCAGCCUGAGCCCACUAUACCAGCUGUGGCACAGAUAUCCAGCACAUCUGGGACCCAACCUGACAGUACUGCCUCUGCUGCCCCUGCACUACCUGCAUCCACAGGUAGCACUACCCUGGCAGCUGGUGCUGUGGUACCCUGCAUGAGAACUGGAGGAGAUGAUUUAAUCACCUACCAACAGAUGCCAGGGUUGAUGCAGAGGCUCAUGCACAGCACUAUUGCUGUAUGCAUGGCCCAUAGGAGGAGAAGACAUCAAGCACUCCAGCAGCAAGUGGAAUAAGGGGACAGUGAUGAUAGUCCUGCAGACGAGGACUAAAUUCUCACUGUCCCCAUGUUUGAUGGGAAUGGGCUUGCACUGCUCCCUCCCUUUCUCCCAAUCUUGGUGUCCCCAACACCCCCCAGCUAUACUAAAUUACUCAAUUUUUACCAAUUUUGAGGUCCAAAUAAUAUGAGGUGUCACGAUUCCUGAGUGGCACCCCUUAAUUUCCGGAUUUCCCAACUUUUUUAUUUUAAAUCCUUUUUCAAUUUUUUGAGCUGACAUCAUCACAUGUCUGAUGAUGGCAACUCCGUGAAAUGGCCUGCCAUCCUGUCGGAAUUGAGAUCAAGGGCUCAACAGCAUAACUUGUGUGCAUUUCCGGCUGCUCCAGCCAAGCAGCGAGGCUGUUGAAUGUAGCUGCAAGCAGGAAUGGAACAAUUGAACAAAGCUGCAAGCAGGAAUGGAACAAGUGAAUGUAGCUGCAAGCAGGAAUGGAGCAAUUAGCUGUUAAUGGUGGUUGAACUUCCAGGAACCGAACAAGCCAUGAGGCUGUUAAUGGAAGGAAAAGUGCAAGCAAGACUGAGGAGGAUCAUCAUAAGCAGGUUUUGGAAAUGCAAUAACAGCCUUCAGUAACUGAUCAUCAUGACCUACAACCAGGUGACACUGUUUGCAUCAGAUCAUUCUCUGGAAGACAUGCUUUGUCUUUGAGAUGGAAAGGAGCCUUCUUCGUUUUACCUACCACCACUGUCAUUAGAUGUCAAGGACUGGCCACUUGAAUCCAUGUGUCAUAUGUCAAGAAGGCCCUCCUUCAUGAUAAAACCAGAUGACAUAACCAUCAGCAUCACUUCUUUUGAGACUACAGAUUCAAUUGCAAAUUGAACCAGACAAAAAACAGAAAAAGCAUCAUAUCCAAAAUGAAAUUUAGAGACUUUUUUGCAACACCAUUAUGAUUGAAUUUGUAAGGUAAAUCUAGUGAUUUGACAGAUUCGUCCUGGUCAGAGAUAAAAACUCAGCUUAAAUCAAUAGCAGCAAGUUUUAUGGACAAUGAUGGGAAGUCAACCCAAGAGCUGGACAAUGAAUCAAGUGACCGAUUAUCACUUGUGGAGUCACAAAUGGCAAAAACUUCAACAUGGAGUGUGUGUUUUGGAAACAGAUUUUAUAUGAACUGUAGAAGAACAGUUCAUCAUCUGUGUUUGCAGUUUCUCAAAAAAAAAAAAACUUAAGUCUCAGCCUGCUCAGUAUUUAUAUAGACUCAUUAUUGGAAUGACUGUGAUUUGUAUUCUGCUGUAUUUCUUGUUGUCAUUUGCAGCCAUCAGAAUUGUAAGUACUGAAUAAUUUUAUAUCAGAGAUGAGCAUUUUACAAAAAAAUAGUAACAAUUAGAAUUGAACAAAGUACCCCAGAUUAUCAUCAUAAAUGUAGUCCCUUUUCUGCUACCUUACAUACCUAUGCAAAGACUUUGAAUAUCAGUGACUGUUGGGCAUGUGCAGAUAUACCUACUGGGGGGUUUCCAUUAAUUCUAAUACCAGUGACUGAUACAGAAGUUGGGUCAGCAUUUCAUGCCAUUUUCCUAAAUGGAAACUGGAAAGCCAAACAUAAUUCUAGUUCAUUUCCAGUAGUUGCAUUUCAGUUAUCAAUGACUGUUAAGGGACGUACUUGUAUAUU